rnacentral:rRNA from 1 species
UUGGAGGGCAAGUCUGGUGCCAGCAGCCGCGGUAAUUCCAGCUCCAAUAGCGUAUAUUAAAGUUGUUGCAGUUAAAAAGCUCGUAGUUGAAUUUCGGGAUUGACACAUCGGUCGUGCCUUAAGGGGUAUGAACUGGUGUAGUCAAUUUCUCACCUUCUGGAGAACCGCGAUGUCCUUAAUUGGGCGCCGCGGGGAACCAGGACCUUUACUUUGAAAAAAUUAGAGUGUUUAAAGCAGGCAUUUUGCUUGAAUACAUUAGCAUGGAAUAAUAAAAUAGGACGGAUGAUUCUAUUUUGUUGGUUUCUAGGACCACCGUAAUGAUUAAUAGGGAUAGUUGGGGGCAUUAGUAUUCAAUUGUCAGAGGUGAAAUUCUUGGAUUUAUUGAAGACUAACUACUGCGAAAGCAUUUGCCAAGGAUGUUUUCAUUAAUCAAGAACGAAAGUUAGGGGAUCGAAGACGAUCAGAUACCGUCGUAGUCUUAACCAUAAACUAUGCCGACUAGGAAUCAGACGAUGUUAAUUUUUUAAUGACUCGUUUGGCACCUUACGGGAAACCAAAGUGUUUGGGUUC